rnacentral:rRNA from 1 species
AGUGAAUAGAUACCCCGGUAGUCCCAGCUGUAAACGAUGCGCGUUAGGUGUAUCGGUGACCACGAGUUACCGAGGUGCCGAAAGGGAAAACCGUGAAACGCGCCGCCUGGGAAGUACGGUCGCAAGGCUGAAACUUAAAGGAAUUGGCGGGGGAGCACUACAACGGGUGGAGCCUGCGGUUUAAUCGGACUCAACGCCGGGAAGCUCACCGGAUAAGACAGCUGGAUGAUAGCCGGGCUGAAGACUCUGCUUGACUAGCUGAGAGGAGGUGCAUGGCCGUCGUCAGUUCGUACUGUGAAGCAUCCUGUUAAGUCAGGCAACGAGCGAGACCCACGCCAACAGUUGCCAGCUUGUCCUCAGGGAUGAAGGGGACACUGUUGGGACCGCCUCUGCUAAAGAGGAGGAAGGAAUGGGCAACGGUAGGUCAGCAUGCCCCGAAUUAUCCGGGCUACACGCGGGCUACAAUGGCCAGGACAAUGGGAAUCGACACCGAAAGGUGAAGGCAAUCUCCCAAACCUGGUCUUAGUUCGGAUUGUGGGCUGC